AGGACGAACGCUGGCGGCGUGCCUAAACAUGCAAGUCGAACGAGGUAGCAAUACCUAGUGGCGAACGGCGGAGUAAUACAUAAACAACGUGCCCCGAAGACUGGGAUAUACAGCUGAAAAGCUGAGCAAUACCGGAUAUGGCAGCGUCUCGGCAUCGAGAUGCUAUCAAAUGGUUUUUCGCUUUGGGAGCGGUUUAUGGCCUAUCAGGUAGUUGGUGGGGUAAUGGCCUACCAAGCCGACGACGGGUAGCGGGUCUGAGAGGAUGAUCCGCUCGAGUGGGACUGAGACACGGCCCACACACCUACGGGUGGCAGCAGUUGGGAAUCUUGCACAAUGGGGGAAACCCUGAUGCAGCGACGCCGCGUGGAGGAUGACGGAUCUAGGUCUGUAAACUCCUUUUUCAUGGAAAGACUUAGGACGGUACCAUGAGAAUAAGGACCGGCUAACUACGCGCCAGCAGCCGCGGUAA
rnacentral:rRNA from 1 species